AUGGUUUUUUCCACCGCUUUGAACCGAACCGGUGGCAAAAAUAUUUUUUUAAAAAAAUACCCCUUAUAUUUUUCUAAACCCUACCCUACCUCAUACUCGGCCUCCCUCCUCCUCUCUCUCUCCUGAUCUCCUCUCCUCUCUUCUCUCUCCUCUCCUCUCCUCUCCUCUCUUUAUUCUCUCUCCUCUUUCCUCUCCCUAAAAAAAACCCCCUUGUUCACCUAAACACCACCAAAGACGACCACUAACUCCACCACCAACUCCAACACCCAAGACCACGAACAACAACGAAUCUAAUCAAGAUGGGUCUGAUUUUUUAGGUACAUCAAUUUAGAUCUUAAAAAUUUAAAUUGAAGAAUCAAGAUUCAAGAAUAUUGGUUUAGAUGUGUAGGGUUUUUAUUUAUUUAUAUGUUGUAAUUUAUUGUAAUUAUUUUUAUUAUAUAUUGUAAAAUUUGGAUUAUAUUG